GGUUUCAGCAUGUUGGCCAGGAUGGCCUCAACCUCUUGCCCUCAUGAUCUGCCCGCCUAAGCCUCACCACAUGCUGGAUUACAUGCGUGAACCAUCACGCCCAGCCUGCCAUCUGGUUAUCUAACGUCACCAAGUGAAUAUUAGACCUGUGCCAGCGGGACCCAGCAUGAUGUCAUCCUUAUGGUGUUUCUUUUUCUCUUAUUGCAGGAGAAGCCCGCCACUUGGUGUCACCGCCGUACGUAUUCUUUUUCUUUUAAAGAGUUACCGAGACGUAGUGCAUAUGCAAACAAAUUCACUUAUAUAAAGUAGGUGAUUCCGUGCUUUUACUCUAUUUAUAGGGUUGUGCGACCAUUGUUAGAGUCUAAUUUUAGAAGCUGUUUUUCCCCCUCAGAAAACCCGCUUAGUAGUGACUCCUCUGUUCUCCCUUACCCCCCACCCCCCACCCCCCUGGUCCUAGGCAGCCCUAAUCUACUUCCUGUUUCUGUAGUACACUUUCUUGCUGUAUUAACCGGUUCUUCAAAUGACAAUUUCACGUUGAUGCGGUUGUCCUGGCUAGGAAGCCAGGCUCUUUUAUUUCUUUCUGCCCCUCUCCUUUUUCUUCCUUCAGCACCCAGGAGAAUGGUCCAGCAGCAGCUGGGUCCGUGCUUGUCAAACGCCCCGCUCCAUACCCUCCAGCCCGGUCCACAUUUCCCAAAGCUCCUGGUGAGAUUCCUGAGCAGCACCAAUGCACUGUCACUCUGUGUUCUCUUAGGUCCCGUUGAGGUCCCGCAGGACCUCAUACUAGAAGACAUUGAGGAUGAUGAGCUAACCCGUGACGAGCCUCGCCACAUGCUGGAUUACAUGCGUGAACCACCACGCCCAACCUGCCAUCUGGUUAUCUAACAUCACCAAGUGAAUAUUAGACCUGUGCCAGCGGGACCCAGCAUGAUGUCAUCCUCAUGGUGUUUCUUUUUCUCUUAUUGCAGGAGAAGCCCGCCACUUGGUGUCACCGCCGUACGUAUUCUUUUUCUUUUAAACAGUUACCGAGACGUAGUGUGUAUGCAAACAAAU
rnacentral:lncRNA from 13 species